AUAAGAUUUUUAUGAGCAUUGGCUUUGGGUGAUUUGGAGUUUUUAUGACUUUGUAAGAGCUUUACAAAGUCAAGUUUGUUUUCAGAUGACUUGAGAUUUGUGAAAUAAAAUAGGGUUGAUUUUUCUAGUGAUUUCAAGAGUUUUAUAAUAGAUCUAUAGGUGAAAUUUUGUAGGUUAAUGGUCAUAGUUGUGCUUAAUAUGUGUUUUGAAUCUUACCUCGAUCUAAUGGUUGAAUUGAGGGUUAUUGAAGUUUAAGUGAGUUAAGGUCUCAGAAAGUAGAAUUUUAGGUCUAGUGAGGAUUUUUAAGAAUUCUUGCAAUCUACUAGUUGGAUUGGAGUAAAAUUUGUGUGAGAGGAUAUUAGACUUAUUUUUCUAUGUGUAUGAGAAUUUUAAAAUCAAUAAAAUUUUAUAAAGAGAGAUAUUGGCUCUGGGAGAUUGGCAUCAAGGUUGAAGAAGGAGGCCGGCCAAUACCUAAGUACAUUUUUGAGGUUAUCAUCUAUUUGGUAAUUCUAAUCCUUUUCAAAAAUAUUGUACUUGUUUUCAACUUAGUUUUUUAGAAGUAUGCAAAAUUUUAAUUAAGAUCAAUGGUUCAUUCAUUAGUUAUUAAGAUUUAAUUUUGUUAUAGAAAUUACUAGGAUUUAGUUAGGAUUUGAUUUAGGGUUAGGAUUUGGUUACGAUUUGGUUUAGGAUUUAGGAUUAGGGUUAGGAUUUGGUUAGGAUUUGAUUUAGGGUUAGGGUUUGGUUAGGAUUUGGUUAGAAUUUGGUUAGGAUUUGAUUUAAGAUUUAAUUAGGAUUUAAGAUUUGGUUAGGAUUUGAUCAGGAUUUGAUUUGGAAUUUAGGGUUUUAUUUGAGUUUGUUUAGGAUUUAAGAUUUAGUUAGUUUUUGGCCUAAAGUUUGAAUGAAGUAAGAUUUCAACUAGGAUUAAAUUAAGAUUGAAUUGAUAUGUAUUUGAGAUAUGUUUGUAAUCAUUCUAAUAUUUCUUUAAAAUUUCUUAUUAUUUCUUUAGAAUUCUUUUGAGGUUUCUUUGAAUUUGAUUAAAGCUUGUUUAG
rnacentral:lncRNA from 1 species